rnacentral:rRNA from 1 species
UACAGGAGGCCACAAGCGUUAGGCGGAAUCACUGGGCUUAAAGCGUGUGUAGGCGGGGUGGUAAGUAACUUUGUCGAAAUCCCGACGGCUUAACCGUGGAAUUGCUUGGGUAUACUGCCGUUCUUGAGUCAUCUAGGGGCAGCCGGAACAGAUGGUGGAGCGGUGAAAUGCGUAGAUAUCAUCUGGAACGCCAAUGGUGCAGACAGGCUGCUGGGGAUGUACUGACGCUGAGGCACGAAAGCCAGGGGAGCAAACGGG